AGCAGCCGCGGUAAUUCCAGCUCCAAUAGCGUAUAUUAAAGUUGUUGCAGUUAAAAGCUCGUAGUUGAAUUUCGAGACCGGUUUACUGGUCGUGCUUUUGUACGUACUGGUAUUAUUGGUUUCUCCUUUCUGACGAAUCAUAAUGCCAUUAAUUUGGUGUUUUGGGGAAUCAGGACUGUUACUUUGAAAAAAUUAGAGUGUUUAAAGCAGGCUCACGCUUGAAUACAUUAGCAUGGAAUAACGAAAUAGGACGUUUGAUUUUAUUUUGUUGGUUUCUAGGAUCGACGUAAUGAUUAAUAGGGAUAGUUGGGGGCAUUAGUAUUCAAUUGUCAGAGGUGAAAAUUCUUGGAUUUAUUGAAGACUAACUACUGCGAAAAGCAUUUGCCAUGGAUGUUUUCAUUAAUCAAGAACGAAAGUUAGGGGAUCGAAGACGAUCAGAUACCGUCGUAGUCUUAACCAUAAAACUAUGCCGACUAGGGAUCGGAUGAUGUUGAUUUUUUAAUGACUCAUUCGGCACCUU
rnacentral:rRNA from 1 species